AGGAGGAGGAGGAGGGGUCCCCGCGGCUUUAUCUCCCACCCGGCUCCGCCCGCCGCCGGCUGUCUCCGGUGACCGCAGCGCACCGGCGGGCGCAGCGCGGCCAGGGCAGCGCCCAUGGGCUGCGGCAACUCCACGGCCGGCGGUGCGGGCGGGCGAGGUGCUACAGGGACUACUAAAGAUGUAGCAGAAGAAUCCAUAUCAGAUGAUGACAAAAGGAGGAACUAUGGUGGGGUGUACGUGGGCCUGCCGGCGGACGCGGCUGCCAUGGCUCCCAGUCAGACAAAAGCUGCACCCAAAGAAGGAAAUAAAGACAUCAAGAUGCAAACAGCCCGAGUCUACUGAGACCAGUUGCCAGUGCUUUGGAGAGCGCUGUCUUUGUGCUGAAGAUUUUGAUAUUUACACAGCCUUCUGGAGAGCAAGAGAGAUCAGAGCACCAAAAAAUCCAAACUGUUGCAAGUUCCAACUACGGUUGCUUGGAAGAAUCAUCAAAAAGGUGGACAGGGCUAAACUCAAACAUUACCUGUUCUGCUACUGACAUCUGAAGCCCUGUGUGUGGGCAGAGGGAGCAAAGAGGUGAUUGCUGACGAACAGCUCCUCGCAGCUGGUGGUGGGACAGUUGCAAAGGGUACUUUCCUUGGUUUACAUCACUGCUUGUUUUUCCUGUACAGAGCUACAGAGAAGCUUGAAGCAAUUUGCAGAAUUGGUCUUUUAAUAUUUCACCCUCUGAAUGUGUGGGAGGUACAGUGGUUUCUUAAUAUUUUUGUUCCUCUGUGUCUUUUAAUCUCAAAAGUUUACGGACCAACUGACAAAUGUGCAGCAUCAUGGACUGCAGCCUCUAAAAUAAACAUACAUUAAUUUAUGCUAUGUGGGCCUGUACCCAUCAAACUAAAGAGCUAGGGCCAUGCCCUUGUCUUUAAUUUGCAGACUCUUGUCUUUUGUUUUCCCAAGGAUCCAUGAAUCUAGAAACUGUGUGACAGCAUACUAUAUUCUGUCCCGGCCAAAUUCCACUUAGGGCACUGAUUUUCUGCUCAUGAAAAUUCCUCUGUGGUGAGCAGCCUUUGUGAAUAAAAGCAAAUGUCAUUUCAUGGAGAAAUGAGUGUAUCUGCUCUUUCAAAACUUACAGUCUAUGGAUAUUUCUGUUAGGAGGAGGAACAGAAAAGAAACCCUAUAUGCCAGCUGCCAGCUGUGCAUGUGAUGGCAUCCUUGGAGGCACUCAAAUGAUGUUUCAAUGGGAAAACUGAGAACAGAACACAAGCAGUCAUUGAAUGGCAGUUAUUAUUAAGGAAUAGACUUUGGUUUUGUCAAAACAUCUUGAAUUACCAUUUGUGAAAAAUAAACAUUUAAAUGUUGGGGCUGUAAUACCAUUUUCCUUGCAGUGGUUACUGUUUCUCCAGCCAGAGAUGCGGAGCCAGUGAAAAUAAUUCAGCAAAGAGUGGAUUUGGGCUUUAUAAUCUCAGAAUCUCUGAUCCGAGAAUCUUAGGCAGCCCAAAAAUAUUAUGCUUGGAUUUGUGAAUUUUGAAAAAUUCUGGAGUAGGAGUACGAAAGCAUAAAAUUGAAACUACGGUUUGUGACCAGCUGAAAAGCACUCAAAAUAUCUUGUAUUGCAAAUUUUCGUCUCAUACAAACUAUUUCACCUCAAGGACAUCUUCUCUUUUGAAUUAUGCUAAUGAGAUGGUGCAUUUGUUUUGCUUUCUUCUUAAUGCAGGACCUGGAGCUUUGUUGUAAGGGUCCAACUUCUCAGUUUCUGCGUAGUCCAGACAGAAAUACUGCCUGUCUUUUAUGUGCCAUACACAUCCUAGUGUAGUUCAGACGACACGACAACUCUAAAUCUCUGUGUUGCUCAAGGGUUAAAUCUUGUCAGUAAGAGAGUUGCAGAAGACCUGGUAAAAGCCAGUGUAAUCUCAGUUAGAACUUCAUUCACUAGAAAUUAAAUCCUUUCCUAGCAGAGUCCACACAAGGCUGAAGCUGCAGAAAAUCAUAAAGGUGGAAUUUGUCUCUAAUGAACACAAAGUACUAAUUUACUUGUUUUCAUCCUGCCUGUCUGGCAGAGGAGACUCUGCUGUAUGGGACUACGGUUGAAAUGGCAUCACCAUUCCCUGUCACCCACACAAGUCUAGCAAUUCUCAAUAAUCAUGCUUCCCAGGCACUUGGUGAGUCACUGCUGAUCUGUUUUCUGCAAAGUAGACCUCUGUUUGGUUCCCAUGGUGAUCAGAAGUGACAAUUAUUGCAGGCUGCUACUACAGUUUCUCAGUUGUGUGUGCCCACUAAAAGAAGCUCUUACCUGGCUAUAGUCCCUGGGUGUUUUGCAGUACAUCAUCGUUGCUUCCUAUUGACAGCAAUUUAAACACUUCAGGUGAAUUGGCUUUGUGGAGAACAGGCUGAAGGAGGGGGAUUUGGGGAGUAUUUUUGUUUUGCAAUGUAUUUAGAACAAGAUGAAGAAAAUAACUCUGUCAACUUUCCAUAGAAUGAUGGUGUUCCAGUAUUGCAGAAAAUCUUUUGAGGCUGGGCUAAAUGAUUCAGCCCUUGUUUUAAAGACCACCAAGCACAGAACUCAGGUUUAUCAUAAUAGGAGCUAUUUUUCCUGAUCUGACAAUUUUUGCUGUAACUCCAGCCUUUUCAAUCACUGAAGUAUUUCCCAGACAGGAGAAAUCUGUCACUUCUAUUGUGGGACCU